rnacentral:rRNA from 1 species
UACGUAGGCAGCGAGCGUUGUUCGGAAUUACUGGGCGUAAAGAGUGUGUAGGCGGUGCUCUAAGUCUGUCGUGAAAUCUCCGGGCUUAACUCGGAAAGGUCAACUGAUACUGCUCGACUAGAGUGCGGAAGGGGCAACUGGAAUUCUCGGUGUAGCGGUGAAAUGCGUAGAUAUCGAGAGGAACACCUGUGGCGAAAGCGGCGCACUGGACCACAUCUGACGCUGAGGCGCGAAAGCUAGGGGAGCAAACAGG